AAGGAAGGACGGAAAUCAGUAAGUGCUGCUAAUACUUACAUACCGAGGUUAAAGUCCUCGGCUUCUUUA
rnacentral:tRNA from 1 species